UACGGAGGGUGCAAGCGUUAUCCGGAUUUAUUGGGUUUAAAGGGUCCGUAGGCGGAUCCGUAAGUCAGUGGUGAAAUCUCAUAGCUUAACUAUGAAACUGCCAUUGAUACUGCGGGUCUUGAGUGAGAUUGAGGUAGCUGGAAUAAGUAGUGUAGCGGUGAAAUGCAUAGAUAUUACUUAGAACACCAAUUGCGAAGGCAGGUUACCAAGUCUUAACUGACGCUGAUGGACGAAAGCGAUGG
rnacentral:rRNA from 1 species